UAUCAUUUUUCUCUUCUCCUUCACCGAAAUAUGCAGCAAAGAAAGGGAUUUGAAGCUGGAAAAUUUCAGCAACAUAUUUCCCUUGCUUAUGAUGAAAAUCGAGAUUUGGACCUAGAACAGAAAGAAAUCGAUUAAGGGAUAAUUACGUCUUUUUUUUUCACCUUUGUGGUAUCGAGGUAAGUUCAUGUGUAAAUAAUGUAGCAUAAUUGUUAUUUUUAAGUUAUUGAUGUUAAAUAUAUGAUAUGCUGGUUUCUAUCAUGAAA